rnacentral:rRNA from 1 species
AGAGUUUGAUUCUGGCUCAGAUUGAACGCUGGCGGUAUGCUUAACACAUGCAAGUCGGACGGUAACAUGGGAGCUUGCUCCUGAUGACGAGUGGCGGACGGGUGAGUAACGCGUAGGAAUCUGCCUCGUAGUGGGGGACAACUUGGGGAAACUCAAGCUAAUACCGCAUACGCCCUAAGGGGGAAAGCGGGGGACCUUCGGGCCUCGCGCUAUGAGAUGAGCCUGCGUUGGAUUAGCUAGUUGGUGGGGUAAAGGCCUACCAAGGCGACGAUCCAUAGCUGGUCUGAGAGGACGAUCAGCCACACUGGGACUGAGACACGGCCCAGACUCCUACGGGAGGCAGCAGUGGGGAAUAUUGGACAAUGGGCGCAAGCCUGAUCCAGCAAUACCGCGUGUGUGAAGAAGGCCUGAGGGUUGUAAAGCACUUUCAAUGGGGAGGAAAAAGCCUGGGUGAAUAGCCUAGGUGUUGACAUUACCCAUAGAAGAAGCACCGGCUAACUCCGUGCCAGCAGCCGCGGUAAUACGGAGGGUGCGAGCGUUAAUCGGAAUUACUGGGCGUAAAGCGUGCGUAGGCGGUUAUUUAAGUCAGAUGUGAAAGCCCCGGGCUUAACCUGGGAAUUGCAUUUGAUACUGGGUGACUAGAGUUUAAUAGAGGGGAGUGGAAUUUCAGGUGUAGCGGUGAAAUGCGUAGAGAUCUGAAGGAACACCAGUGGCGAACGCGGCUCUCUGGAUUAAAACUGACGCUGAGUACGAAAGCGUGGGUAGCAAACAGGAUUAGAUACCCUGGUAGUCCACGCCGUAAACGAUGUCAACUAGCCGUUGGGUUUUAUUAAUGAACUUAGUGGUGCAGCUAACGCAUUAAGUUGACCGCCUGGGGAGUACGGCCGCAAGUUAAAACUCAAUGAAUUGACGG